rnacentral:rRNA from 1 species
AUUAAUUCGAUGCAACGCGAAAACCUUACCUACCCUUGACAUGUCCGGAAUCCCGAAGAGAUUUGGGAGUGCUCGCAAGAGAGCCGGAACACAGGUGCUGCAUGGCUGUCGUCAGCUCGUGUCGUGAGAUGUUGGGUUAAGUCCCGCAACGAGCGCAACCCUUGUCAUUAGUUGCCAUCAUUUGGUUGGGCACUCUAAUGAGACUGCCGGUGACAAACCGGAGGAAGGUGGGGAUGACGUCAAGUCCUCAUGGCCCUUAUGGGUAGGGCUUCACACGUCAUACAAUGGUCGGUACAGAGGGUUGCCAACCCGCGAGGGGGAGCUAAUCCCACAAAGCCGAUCGUAGUCCGGAUCGCAGUCUGCAACUCGACUGCGUGAAGUCGGAAUCGCUAGUAAUCGUGGAUCAGCAUGUCACGGUGAAUACGUUCCCGGGUCUU